rnacentral:SRP_RNA from 1 species
UUUGUUAGCUCCAAUACUGUCAUAGUUUAAAUAACUAGUCAGGUCCGGAAGGAAGCAGCUAAAUUAAAUAAAAGCAGGUAUUGUGGAGCUAGCAACUCU